rnacentral:rRNA from 1 species
ACGGGAGGCAGCAGUGGGGAAUAUUGCACAAUGGGGGAAACCCUGAUGCAGCGACGCCGCGUGAGUGAAGAAGUAUUUCGGUAUGUAAAGCUCUAUCAGCAGGGAAGAAAAUGACGGUACCUGACUAAGAAGCACCGGCUAAAUACGUGCCAGCAGCCGCGGUAAUACGUAUGGUGCAAGCGUUAUCCGGAUUUACUGGGUGUAAAGGGAGCGUAGACGGCUGGGCAAGUCUGAAGUGAAAGGUGGGGGCUCAACUCCCAAACUGCUUUGGAAACUGUCUAGCUAGAGUGCAGGAGAGGUAAGUGGAAUUCCUAGUGUAGCGGUGAAAUGCGUAGAUAUUAGGAGGAACACCAGUGGCGAAGGCGGCUUACCGGACUGUAACUGACGUUGAGGCUCGAAAGCGUGGGGAGCAAACAGGAUUAGAUACCCUGGUA